CGAAAGCCUGACGGAGCAAUACCGCGUGAGGGAGGAAGGUUUUUGGACUGUAAACCUCUUUUUUUAAGGAAGAAGAAAGUGACGGUACUUAAAGAAUAAGCAUCGGCUAACUCCGUGCCAGCAGCCGCGGUAAUACGGAGGAUGCAAGCGUUAUCCGGAAUCAUUGGGCGUAAAGCGUCCGCAGGUGGCAGUUCAAGUCUGCUGUUAAAGACAGAAGCUCAACUUCUGAUAGGCAGUGGAAACUGGUGAGCUGGAGUACGGUAGGGGUUGAGGGAAUUCCCAGUGUAGCGGUGAAAUGCGUAGAUAUUGGGAAGAACAUCGGUGGCGAAGGCGCUCUACUGGACCGAAACUGACACUGAGGGACGAAAGCUAAGGUAGCG
rnacentral:rRNA from 1 species